rnacentral:lncRNA from 1 species
ACGGAAGCCAAAGUAUGAACCCAAGUAUAGCUGGAUGACCAAGGAGCCCUCUUCCAUCUGACUGAAUCUCAUCCAAUUUUGAGGGGAGGAGCCUGCAUGGAGAGCAAACUCUGGGGUAAAAUUACAUGAUCUCACUGCCUGAAGGAUACCAGGCUUAGGUGCAGAGUCACAAAAGUGAAACUGUGCACCUACUACCCGCCAGGAAAUGAACCAGGCCAUGAGAACACAAAACAGGCAGACACAGACGGCCCUUGAGUUCACGGAAAGCAGAUUCUCAUGCAGAUCACAUUAACCUCACAGGGCAAACAAGAGAUUAAAGUGCUGGGAAUAGGGAUACCAGACUUGAGAGUUGGAGAGCUUGCCCCUGACCUCUGUCUAUCAUCAUAAAGAAUACACCAUAAGAAGACGUAGUUCAGGAAAUGAAACUAGAGGGCUGCCACACUUUUCAACUUUCUGUCUAUUAAGCAUUACUUCAGAAAGAUUCGGUCAUGUCAGUGAAAAACAAUUCUGAAAUCACGCAAUUACCGAACAGCUCAAGGCAUAUCAUCAACGUACUUGAAAACAAAGGAUUUUCUACUGGCAGUGUGCUUUGCUGUGGCAUCGAUGUAUCUUCUAAGUUGCAGUCACCCUCCAUAGGGCUAUUCACGAAUAUGAUACAUCUUAAACUCUAUAUUUCCAAAAAUGAAAUGGGAGGGCCAAAUCUGCUCUUUAAGAUAUAAAAAAUGUAAGACUGACACUUCACUCGUAACAAUGAGAACAAGUUGGUUAAAGACACACAGAAAGCUAAGUAAACUAAAUUCUCAAAAUAAAUGAGCUCUUCCUAGUAGAAAAGAGCUCUCAGGGCUGAUUUCAUUGCUGGAGGAAGGAUGACCAGAGAAGGAAAUCUCCACAGGUGGAGUAAAAGAAACCAGCUGAUUUUCUUCAUAAACAUAUCCAGCCCCUGUGAGCUGAGAUGAUGAUCCUGAGUUCCAGGAUUUUCUAUAUAGAAGACUGUCAUCUGAGAAAAGAGACAAUUUACCUCCUUUCCAAUCUAGAUGCCUUUUAUUUCUUCUUCUUCUCUGGGUGCCUUGACUAGAACCUCCAGUACACUGCGGAAUAAAAGUGGC